rnacentral:rRNA from 1 species
GAUGAACGCUGGCGGCGUGCCUAAUACAUGCAAGUCGAGCGAACAGACGAGGAGCUUGCUCCUCUGACGUUAGCGGCGGACGGGUGAGUAACACGUGGAUAACCUACCUAUAAGACUGGGAUAACUUCGGGAAACCGGAGCUAAUACCGGAUAAUAUAUUGAACCGCAUGGUUCAAUAGUGAAAGACGGUUUUGCUGUCACUUAUAGAUGGAUCCGCGCCGCAUUAGCUAGUUGGUAAGGAAACGGCUUACCAAGGCAACGAUGCGUAGCCGACCUGAGAGGGUGAUCGGCCACACUGGAACUGGGACACGGUCCAGACUCCUAAGGGAGGCAGCAGUAGGGAAACUUCCGCAAAGGGCGAAAGCCUGACGGAGCAAAGGCGCGUGAGUGAUGAAGGGAUUCGGAUCGGAAAACUCUGUUAAUAGGGAAGAACAAAUGUGUAAGUAACUAUGCACGGCUUGAAGGUACCUAAUCAGAAAGCCAAGGCUAAAUAAGUG